CCAAUAGCGUAUAUUAAAGUUGUUGCAGUUAAAAAGCUCGUAGUUGAAUUUCGGGAUUAGUACGCUGGUCGUGCCUUUGGUAUGUACUGGUGUUACUGAUUCCUACCUUCUGACGAACCGUCAUGUCAUUAAUUUGGUGUGGCGGGGAAUCAGGACUGUUACUUUGAAAAAAUUAGAGUGUUUAAAGCAGGCUCGCGCUUGAAUACAUUAGCAUGGAAUAAUGAAAUAGGACGUUCGAUCCUAUUUUGUUGGUUUCUAGGAUUGACGUAAUGAUUAAUAGGGUUAGUUGGGGGCAUUAGUAUUCAAUUGUCAGAGGUGAAAUUCUUGGAUUUAUUGAAGACUAACUACUGCGAAAGCAUUUGCCAAGGAUGUUUUCAUUAAUCAAGAACGAAAGUUAGGGGAUCGAAGACGAUCAGAUACCGUCGUAGUCUUAACCAUAAACUAUGCCGACUAGGGAUCGGAUGAUGUUAUUUUUAAUGACUCAUUCGGCGCCUUACG
rnacentral:rRNA from 1 species